GACAGAGGGUGCAAACGUUGCUCGGAAUUACUGGGCGUAAAGGGCGCGUAGGCGGCCAUCUAAGUCAGACGUGAAAUCCCCCGGCUUAACCUGGGAACUGCGUCUGAUACUGGACGGCUGGAGUUUGGGAGAGGGAUGUAGAAUUCCAGGUGUAGCGGUGAAAUGCGUAGAUAUCUGGAGGAAUACCGGUGGCGAAGGCGGCAUCCUGGACCAAUACUGACGCUGAGGCGCGAAAGCUAGGGGAGCAAACGGG
rnacentral:rRNA from 1 species